GCGACGUYCUACACGUCCCGUUCAGGACGGCGUUUGCAGUCAUUUGACGUCGCGAAGAAAACGUGUAAACCCAUUGUAAUUGGUAAAAACGAAGAAAUAGGAUGGAAGCUGAAUCAAAGAAAAAGUCAGUAAUGACUUGGGGUGAAACUAAAGACUUGAUGAUGUUGA